rnacentral:rRNA from 2 species
CGUUAGAUUGAAGAAGCUUGCUUCUGAUUGAUAACAUUUGAGUGAGUGGCGGACGGGUGAGUAACACGUGGGUAACCUGCCCUAAAGUGGGGGAUAACAUUUGGAAACAGAUGCUAAUACCGCAUAAAACCUAGCACCGCAUGGUGCAAGGUUGAAAGAUGGUUUCGGCUAUCACUUUAGGAUGGACCCGCGGUGCAUUAGUUAGUUGGUGAGGUAAAGGCUCACCAAGACCGUGAUGCAUAGCCGACCUGAGAGGGUAAUCGGCCACACUGGGACUGAGACACGGCCCAGACUCCUACGGGAGGCAGCAGUAGGGAAUCUUCCACAAUGGACGAAAGUCUGAUGGAGCAACGCCGCGUGAGUGAAGAAGGUUUUCGGAUCGUAAAACUCUGUUGUUGGAGAAGAACGUAUUUGAUAGUAACUGAUCAGGUAGUGACGGUAUCCAACCAGAAAGCCACGGCUAACUACGUGCCAGCAGCCGCGGUAAUACGUAGGUGGCAAGCGUUGUCCGGAUUUAUUGGGCGUAAAGCGAGCGCAGGCGGUUUCUUAAGUCUGAUGUGAAAGCCUUCGGCUCAACCGAAGAAGUGCAUCGGAAACUGGGAAACUUGAGUGCAGAAGAGGACAGUGGAACUCCAUGUGUAGCGGUGAAAUGCGUAGAUAUAUGGAAGAACACCAGUGGCGAAGGCGGCUGUCUGGUCUGUAACUGACGCUGAGGCUCGAAAGCAUGGGUAGCAAACAGGAUUAGAUACCCUGGUAGUCCAUGCCGUAAACGAUGAGUGCUAGGUGUUGGAGGGUUUCCGCCCUUCAGUGCCGCAGCUAACGCAUUAAGCACU